rnacentral:sRNA from 1 species
CCCAGGUGUGGUGGCGCACGCCUGUAAUCCCCGUGGCUCGGGAGGCUGAGGCAGGAGGUUGGUGAGCUCAAAGCCAGCCUCAGCAAUUUGGUGAGGCCCUAAGCAACUUAGCAAGACCCUGUCUCAA